ACGGAAGGCAGCAGUGAGGAAUAUUGGUCAAUGGACGAGAGUCUGAACCAGCCAAGUAGCGUGAAGGAAGACUGCCCUAUGGGUUGUAAACUUCUUUUGUUCGGGAAUAAAGUGAGCCACGUGUGGCUUUUUGUAUGUACCGUUCGAAUAAGCAUCGGCUAAUUCCGUGCCAGCAGCCGCGGUAAUACGGAAGAUGCGAGCGUUAUCCGGAUUUAUUGGGUUUAAAGGGAGCGUAGGCGGACUGUUAAGUCAGCGGUCAAAUGUCAGGGCCCAACCUUGGCUUGCCGUUGAUACUGGCGGUCUUGAAUACACACAAGGAAGGUGGAAUUCGUCGUGUAGCGGUGAAAUGCUUAGAUAUGACGAAGAACUCCGAUUGCGAAGGCAGCCUUCUGGGGUGCGAUUGACGCUGAGGCUCGAAAGUGCGGGAAUCAAACAGGAUUAGAUACCCUGGUA
rnacentral:rRNA from 1 species